rnacentral:misc_RNA from 1 species
AAACUCGGAGCCAGCCCAUCCAUCUACACUUGAAAAAUUGGAAUUUGGGAUUCUGUCACUCCGUAACCAUUGAAUUCAAACACCAAAGCAAAGAUGCAUAAGCGAUCGCUGGUUUCUCUUUUCAAUUUGUUCCGGAGACACCAUUUUCAACCGUUUCCACAACCAAUAUAUGCAUUUUCUCUCGAAUCGCUCUCAUCGAUUCCGACUCGACUCGUUCCCAGUUCAAUCCAACCUCUGAACCUCAAAUUUCUUCACACUUCCACCUCAAAUCUUUACACAUACGCCCGUUCACUUUGCCAAAACCUCGACGCCUGGCCCACGACUUAUAAAACUCGGAGAAAAUACAGUACUGAGUCGGAAGACGACCCAUUUCCCGCGUUGGAUGUGAACAAAGAGGUGGACAUGAUAAAUCUCAAGUUUGCAGAAGCAAGAGAGGAGAUAGAAAUGGCAAUGGAGUCAAAAGAGACUGUGUAUUUCAACGAAGAGGCGGAGUGUGCACGAACUGCAGUGAAAGAAGUGCUGGACAUGUUUGAGGGGCUACUGGGGAAGUUGCCAGGGAGCGAAAAGGCGGCUUUGCAAAGAUCAAUGGGGCUCAAGAUUGAGCAGUUGAAGGCUGAACUUCUACAGCUGGAUGACUAAUGAGGUUGUUGAUAAUGGGUUCUGGUCGAAUUUCCUUUGGUGCAAUCAUUUUUUUGGGUUCUGGAUGAUGUACUAUGUUUUCGUUGAGCUUAUUGAGGAUAAUUCGAUAUCGAUGUCAUCGCUGAAAAGGGAUUUUGUGAUGGAAAGUUAAUUUUAGUUAAUAUAGACGAUUUUGAUUUGAAUAAUGGAUUAGGAGUUCGUUCCUGAAGUUCAAUUAUCUUAUAGCACUAAUCUCUGAUUUUUAAUAUUACCUUUAGAAUGAAACGAUUUUGUUUUGCUGUAACUUUUGAUCAUAUGGAACCCAGUAUAAGACUGAUAAUAGUCAUAUUCUUCUAAUGUGUUCAUGCUUUGAUUGAUGGAUUGAUGCUUAUAGUCUUGCAUGCCAAAUGGUAUUGUGAUAAAAACCAAGGGGAAAUAUGUAAUGAGAUAUCUUCUUUGGAGAGGUAAUGCAAUUAUU